rnacentral:rRNA from 1 species
UACGGAGGGGGCUAGCGUUGUUCGGAAUUACUGGGCGUAAAGCGCACGUAGGUGGCUUUGUAAGUUAGAGGUGAAAGCCCGGGGCUCAACUCCGGAAUUGCCUUUAAGACUGCAUCGCUAGAACGUCGGAGAGGUAAGUGGAAUUCCGAGUGUAGAGGUGAAAUUCGUAGAUAUUCGGAAGAACACCAGUGGCGAAGGCGACUUACUGGACGACUGUUGACACUGAGGUGCGAAAAGCG